rnacentral:rRNA from 1 species
GUAGGGUGCGAGCGUUAAUCGGAAUUACUGGGCGUAAAGCGUGCGCAGGCGGUGAGCUGUGUCCGAUGUGAAAGCCCCGGGCUUAACCUGGGAAUGGCAUUGGAAACUGGCUCGCUGGAGUGUGGCAGAGGGGGGUGGAAUUCCGCGUGUAGCAGCGAAAUGCGUAGAGAUGCGGAGGAACACCGAUGGCGAAGGCAGCCCCCUGGGCUAACACUGACGCUCAGGCACGAAAGCGUGGGGAGCAAACAGGAUUAGAUACCCUGGUAGUCCACGCCCUAAACCAUGUCAACUGGGUGUUCGGGAAGCGAUUCCUGAGUACCGUAGCUAACGCGUGAAGUUGACCGCCUGGGGAGUACGGCCGCAAGGUUA